GGCUUGUCUGAUCUUCCUCUUCUUAAGUUUCUCAUCCUCAACGGAGGUGUCCACAAUCGCUCUCUUCUUGAUCUGAGAUGCAGCCUGAGCCAUGGUGCUGGGGAGCUGCGAUGGAGCGGAUAUCCUUAUAGAGCAGGAUCGCAGGAGGAAGUCCUACCAGGUCUGGAAACAGCUCCUCUCUGUAGUAUAGUAUCCUACCAGGUCUGGGAACAGCUCCUCUCUGCAGUAUAGUAUCCUACCAGGUCUGGAAACAGCUCCUCUCUGUAGUAUAGUAUCCUACCAGGUCUGGGAACAGCUCCUCUCUGUAGUUUAGUAUCCUACCAGGUCUGGGAACAGCUCCUCUGUAGUAUAGUAUCCUACCAGGUCUGGAAACAGCUCCUCUCUGUAGUAUAGUAUCCUACCAGGUCUGGGAACAGCUCCUCUGUAGUAUAGUAUCCUAGCACGUCUGGGAACAGCUCCUCUCUGUAGUAUAGUAUCCUACCAGGUCUGGGAACAGCUCCUCUCUGUAGUAUAGUAUCCUACCAGGUCUGGAAACAGCUCCUCUCUGUAGUAUAGUAUCCUACCAGGUCUGGGAACAGCUCCUCUGUAGUAUAGUAUCCUAGCAGGUCUGGGAACAGCUCCUCUCUGUAGUAUAGUAUCCUACCAGGUCUGGGAACAGCUCCUCUGCAGUAUAGUAUCCUAGCAGGUCUGGGAACAGCUCCUCUCUGUAGUAUCAGGGAGCAGGGCUGGGUGGUGGUGGUGUGAUGCUCUCUCUCAGGACAGCAGCAGAGGUAGUAACGCUAGCUAGCUAGCUAGGUAGGUAGCAGGGAAAAUAAAACGGACCAGGCUGCUCCUCUCUGGGUGGUGUGAUCCAGUGUUCUAGUAUCCAGGAGGAAGAUGAAGAUGAGGAAGAUGAGGUCUGGCAGCAGACAGACGACCAGGACGGAUCAGUCUCUAGAGAAACAGAAGCAGCUCUCUCUCUCCUCUCGUCUGCUGAUGUCUUCAUGUGGCUACUGGUCCUACCUGAACCACGACCCAUCGCAUUCCCUUCUCCCAACACAGCAUCCCUCAGACAGGACAGGCAAUGGAAUGAGAGGAAGGGAAGUAGGUAAGGUAGAGAGAGAUCGAGUAGGAAGGAGAGAGAGCGAGAGAGAGAGGCAACUGAGACUGGGAGGCAGUGUUACACCACCAGCUGGAAG
rnacentral:lncRNA from 1 species